UACAGAGGUCUCAAGCGUUGUUCGGAUUCAUUGGGCGUAAAGGGUGCGUAGGUGGCGCCGUAAGUCGGGUGUGAAAUUUCGGAGCUUAACUCCGAAACUGCAUUCGAUACUGCGGUGCUUGAGGACUGGAGAAGAGACUGGAAUUCAUGGUGUAGCAGUGAAAUGCGUAGAGAUCAUGAGGAAGACCAGUGGCGAAGGCGGGUCUCUGGACAGUUCCUGACACUGAGGCACGAAGGCCAGGGGAGCAAACGGG
rnacentral:rRNA from 1 species